rnacentral:rRNA from 1 species
UGCGCAGGCGGAAUAAUAAGUCAGUGGUGAAAUCUCUCGGCUCAACCGAGAAACUGCCAUUGAUACUGUUAUUCUUGAGUAUAGUUGUAGUGGGCGGAAUAUAGCAUGUAGCGGUGAAAUGCUUAGAUAUGCUAUAGAACACCGAUCGCGAAGGCAGCUCACUAAACUAUAACUGACGCUCAGGCACGAAAGCGUGGGGAGCAAACAGGAUUAGAUACCCUGGUAGUCC